GAAUCCAUAGAAGUCGAAAGGCCAGUCAACAUAGCAGACCAGCGAAUUUCUCGUAUUUUGCGCUAGUAUUUCACGCGUUAUUCACUUGUUCAACUGCUGUGUUCCUAUCUUAUCGACAGGCAACAAAGGAACUCCGAUUGAUAAGCCGCCAGUGAGAAAACAGUGACGCAAGCAACCAUCGCACAGUUACAGUCAUAAAUGCGCUAUGUGAUCUAUAUAUAUUAUUUUAACUACAAGAUAUUACUACUACAAGAUACACUAUUACUUUCGUUUUAUAUAUUCAGUUCUAUAACAAAAUAUAUAUGUUUUUACAUACAUUAUCAGA